rnacentral:misc_RNA from 1 species
GAUGAAGAACGCAGCGAAAUGCGAUAAGUAAUGCGAAUUGCAGAAUCCGUGAGUCAUCGAAUCUUUGAACGCACAUUGCGCCCUCUGGUAUUCCGGAGGGCAUGCCUGUUCGAGCGUCAUUAUCAACCCUCAAGCCCCCCGCUUGGUGUUGGACCUCGGGUCGUCCACCUCUGGACCGACCGGUCCGAAAGACAAUGACGGCGUCUGCGGGACCUUCGGUGCAAUGAGCUUACCUCGUGUAGCACGCACCGCAGUGGCCUGGAGACCCGGUCCACCUGUAACCACUUCUCAGGUUGACCUCGGAUCAGGUAGGGAUACCCGCUGAACUUAAGCAUAUCAAUAAGCGGAGGA